CAGACAUGCAAGUCGAACGCGAAAGCCCCCUUCGGGGGGCAAGUAGAGUGGCGCACGGGUGAGUAACACGUAGGUAAUCUACCUUUGGAUGGGGAAUAACCACCGGAAACGGUGGCUAAUACCGCAUAAUGCAGCGGCACCUAAUGGUGACAGUUGUUAAAGCGGGGGAUCGCAAGACCUCGCGUCUGAAGAGGAGCCUGCGGCAGAUUAGCUAGUUGGUAAGGUAACGGCUUACCAAGGCGAUGAUCUGUAGCCGGCCUGAGAGGGCGGUCGGCCACACUGACACUGACAUACGGGUCAGACUCCUACGGGAGGCAGCAGUCGGGAAUUUUGGGCAAUGGGCGAAAGCCUGACCCAGCAACGCCGCGUGAAGGAUGAAAUCCCUCGGGAUGUAAACUUCGCAAGAACAGGAAGAAUAAGUAAGGGUUAACAUCUCUUACGAUGACGGUACUGUUUGUAAGCUCCGGCUAACUCCGUGCCAACAGCCGCGGUAAUACGGGGGGAGCAAGCGUUGUUCGGAUUUACUGGGCGUAAA
rnacentral:rRNA from 1 species